AUAACUUUCAAAUCAUUCAUUGGU
rnacentral:siRNA from 1 species